AUGACUAUGAGUACCAACAACAACAGCAACCACAGCAAAGAAAAGCUUGUGGUGGAGGUGGUAGCAGCACACAACCUCAUGCCCAAAAACGGUGAAGGUUCCUCUUCACCAUUUGUAGAAAUAGAGUUUGAGAACCAAAGGCUCAGAACCCAAGUAAAAUACAAAGACCUCAACCCCAUUUGGAACGAAAAGCUUGUGUUCCAUAUCAAAGACGUGGCUGAUCUUCCUUACAGAACCAUAGAAGCCAAUGUCUUCAACGAGAGGAGGUCCAGCAAUAGCAGAAAUUUCCUGGGAAAAGUUCGAGUUUCGGGCACUAACAUUGCAAAAGAAGGUGAAUAGGUCCCUCAGCUUUAUACCCUUGACAAAAGGAGCCUUUUUUCUCACAUCAGAGGGGAAAUAAGCUUCAAGCUUUACCUUUCAACAAGGGAAGAGGUCAAGGAAUUUGGGGCUAAUGGAACAGUCUCAUCCUUUAUUUCUGCUCCUUCUGCUUCGGCUUCUGGGUUUUCAAAGAAAAGCAAGAAACUUCAGGGACCAAACUCAACCAUGGCGGCAAAUCAGCAGCUGGUACAAGAAACAAAGCAAACCCAACAUAACCAGAACAACAACCACCACUCAAAGAAUGUGGAUCAACCAAGUCCAAGUGAGGUGAUUCUGAUGAACAAGCCUGUUUUGAUUAAUACAGGGCCUGGUUCUGUUAUGUUCGGUGUUGGGGGCGGUGGGGUGGGUGUAUACUCAAAUAGGUUGACCGAGUUUACACUCAAAGAGACUCAGCCUCAACUUGGAGGUGAGUCUUUGAAAAAGGACAAAGCUAGCUCUACUUAUGACCUUGUUGAGCAAAUGCAGUACCUUUAUGUGAGAGUUGUGAAAUCCAAAGGAAUCUCUUUGUUUGGUGGUGGAGAUUUGGUGGCUGAAGUGAAGGUAGGGAACUACAGAGGAAUUACAAAGAAGGUUGGUUUGAACAAUGUUGAGUGGGGUCAAGUUUUUGCUUUUUCAAAAGAUUGCAUACAGUCAUCAAUGGUGGAGAUUUUUGUGAAAGACGGCAGCAAAGAUGACUUCUUAGGCCAUGUUUGGUUUGAUUUGAAUGAGGUUCCGAAGAGUGCCUUGCCGGAUAGUCAGUUGGCUCCACAAUGGUAUAGAAUGGAGGAUAAGAAGGGUGAUAAGUAGAAAACAUGGGAGGUGAUGCUUUCAAUUUGGUUUGGGACUCAGGCUGAUGAGGCAUUUGCUGAAGCUUGGCAUUCAAAGUCUGCUAAUGUGAAUUUUGAUGGGUUUUGUUCGAUUAAGUCGAAGGUUUAUUUGUCCCCGAGGCUGUGGUAUUUGAGAGUGUCCAUCAUUGAAGCUCAAGACAUUGUUCUUGGUAAGAAAGGGCCUAUAAUGAUUAGCUUUCCUGAGCUUUUCGUGAAAGUUCAAGUGGGAAACCAGGUUUUGAGGACUAGAAUUGCACAGCCAAGCAGCUUGAGGAGCCUAUACAACCCUUAUUGGAAUGAUGAGAUGAAGUUUGUGGUGGCUGAGCCAAUAGACGACUACUUGUUGGUUUCUGUUGAAGACAAGGUCGGGCCAGGGCGUGAUGAGGUGGUGGGGAGAGUGCUUCUUCCGAUGAUAGCAAUCGAAAAGCGAACAGAUGAAAAGCCAAUGGUUUCAAGAUGGUUUAAUCUUGACAACAACCAUUUCAACAAUGCAGCAGAAGAGUCCAAAAUGAUUACAAGGUUUGGGUCUAGAAUUCAUCUUUGGGUUUCACUUGAUGGUGGUUAUCGUGUGCUAGAUGAGGCCACAAUGUAUAGCAGUGAUCUUAAGCCAACCGACAAGCGGCUUUGGAAGCCUCAUAUUGGUGUGCUUGAAAUGGGGAUUUUGGGUGCAACAGGGCUUAUGCCAAUGAAAAUCAAAGAAGGGAAAAAGGGUCUAGUGAUGCCUAUUGUGUUGCAAAGUAUGGUCACAAAUGGAUUCGAACUCGAACUGUUGUCAAUAGCUUGUCCCCAAAAUGGAACGAGCAGUACACUUGGGAGGUGUAUGAUCCCUGCACAGUUGUCACAAUUGGAGUGUUUGAUAAUUCCCGCAUAAACAAGAACUUGGCAAACAAUCCAGGAGCUCGUGAUUCACGAAUUGGGAAAGUUAGGAUUCGAUUGUCCACACUUGAAUUUGAUCGGGUUUAUAUUACUCACUCGUAUCCCCUCCUCAUGCUGCACACUUCAGGGGUAAAGAAAAUGGGUGAGCUUGAUUUAGCUAUUCGGUUUACAUGUGCUAAUAUGGCUAACAUGAUGCAUAUGUACACAAUGCCACCGUUACCAAAGAUGCAUUUUGUGAACCCUUUGAGUGUGAAUCAAUUGGAGACCCUGAGGUAUCAAGCAAUGAAUGUGGUGGCGUCUAGGCUUAGCCGGGCAGAGCCGCAAUUGGGCAGAGAGGUCGUGGAGUAUAUGCUUGAUCAUGACUCUCAUAUGUGGAGCAUGAGAAGGAGCAAAGCCAACUUCUUUCAACUAAUGAAUGUUCUCUCAAGACUUGUUGCUAUGGGAAGAUUUGUUGAAUUGAUGCGCAGUUGGAACAAGCCGGCCUACUCUGCUCUAUUUGUUGCAUUUUUCCUCUUGCUUGUUGCAUUUCCAGAGCUCAUAAUCCUAAUGAUUUUGCUUUACACUGCCUUCUUGGGACUUUGGCGAUAUAAGUCUAGACCACGCCAACCUCCCCACAUGGAUAUCCGGCUUUCCCAAGCUGAGAGCAUCUAUGCCGAUGAAUUGGAUGAGGAAUUGGAUGAGGGGAUCAGAGUUGUGGUGGUUUUGUUGGGCUUGUAUGUGCUGAGGCCGCCGAGGUUCAGGAGCAAGUUGCCUUGCCAACCUUUGAGUUUCUUUAGUAGGCUACCCACCAGGGCUGAUAGCUUGUUGUAG